rnacentral:rRNA from 1 species
UAACGCGAAGAACCUUACCAAAUCUUGACAUCCUUUGACAACUCUAGAGAUAGAGCUUUCCCCUUCGGGGGACAAAGUGACAGGUGGUGCAUGGUUGUCGUCAGCUCGUGUCGUGAGAUGUUGGGUUAAGUCCCGCAACGAGCGCAACCCUUAUCUUUAGUUGCCAUCAUUAAGUUGGGCACUCUAGAGAGACUGCCGGUGACAAACCGGAGGAAGGUGGGGAUGACGUCAAAUCAUCAUGCCCCUUAUGAUUUGGGCUACACACGUGCUACAAUGGAUGGUACAAAGGGCAGCAAAACCGCGAGGUCAAGCAAAUCCCAUAAAACCAUUCUCAGUUCGGAUUGUAGUCUGCAACUCGACUACAUGAAGCUGGAAUCGCUAGUAAUCGUAGAUCAGCAUGCUACGG